GCGAGGGUCGCCCAGCCAGGUCAAAGGCGUCAGACUUAAGAUCUGAUAACGAAGGUUUUCAAGGGUUCGAAUCCCUUCCCUCGCA
rfam:Methanococcoides burtonii DSM 6242, complete genome.